rnacentral:piRNA from 1 species
UCCCAGAUACAAGACCCAUAUCAUUGGGAGAC